AUGGCAGGCUCCCCGCACGUAUGUGCGGCCAACUGUCAUGGGGCUGUCUUUUCACUGUCCCUUUGAUUAGCGCUUUUGCUUGUUAGGGUCUCGCUGUGGGUUCGGCUGUGUGGUUCUACCCUUGUUGGUAGCACGAUUGUCCCGUUGUUGCCUGUUCAGCCUGCUAUGUGGAUGCUAUGCAUCAACAAGCGGCCGAUGUGUCAUCAAAUUCCAUGUGUCUCCAAGCGCUUGUGCUUUGGAAGUGCAUUUGGAUAUUUGUUGUGUCCCAUGGAUAUUGUGCCUGUCGGGAGGUCUAUCGGCUUCAUGCUUGUAGACCGAUGAGGUUGCUUUUGCACAGAUCAUUGCUGCGGAUGAAACUUCUCGGACAUGCUGUCGGUUUGGCGCAU
rnacentral:misc_RNA from 1 species